ensembl:lncRNA
CCAGAGCUCUCUGCCUCCACCAUGUGAUGACACAGUGAGAAGAUAACUGUCUGCAAACACAGGAAAGAGCCCUCACCAGGAAUAAAAUCAGUCGGCACCUUGAUCUUAGACUUCCCGGCCUCCAGAACUUCAUUCAAGCAAAUGGACAGUCAUCUUCACUUGCCUGUUGACAGUCUACAACUGAACUUCUGAAUUCCACCCUCCUCCCCAUUGUUUCCUCUCUCAUUAAAUGACAGCUUCUUCUGUACUGUCCACACAGUAGCCACUUGACAAAUGAAGCAAGCAAGCACCUGAAAUGUCACUAUCAGAACUGAGACAUGUUGUGAGUGUAAAAUAUACCUGAUAUUUAAAAGACUUAGUGUGAAAAAAUAAUCUAAAACAUUUUAUUAAUAACUUCAAUUAUUUGUGUGUUGAAAUGAUGUUUGUUACACUGAGUUAAAUAAAAUAUAUUAUUAAAAUUGA